rnacentral:rRNA from 1 species
UACGUAGGUGACAGGCGUUGUCCGGGUUUACGGGGCGGAAAGAGCGCGCAGGCGGUCGAUCAAGUCGAGUGUGAAAUCCCCCGGCUCAACUGGGGAGGGUCACUCGAUACUGAUCGACUCGAAGGCAGGAGAGGGUAGUGGAAUUCCCGGUGUAGUGGUGAAAUGCGUAGAUAUCGGGAGGAACACCAGUGGCGAAGGCGACUACCUGGCCUGUUCUUGACGCUGAGGCGCGAAAGCUAGGGGAGCAAACGGG